rnacentral:lncRNA from 1 species
AUGAACAAUUUUCUGAUCAUUUAUUCAAAGGCAGAACAAAUGAGUUCUCCAAGAUAAAAUACAUGAGCACCAUUUCUGCUUCAAGACACACUGAAGAAAAUGCAGAAGAGAAGCCCAGGAAGGGGAGGCAGGAUCUUACCAUGUUAGAAAUGUCGGGUCAUGUUGCAGAAUCUUGUUUAUGUUUUUCUCUCAAAGAAAAUACAGCGAGAUUGUCCGACAUGACAAGAACAUUUGACAGUUGUUCUCACAACGGCUUCCUUAACGUCUCCCAAGGAUCAGUGGACAGAACCUCGGGGAAGAACUGUACUUCUGAAAAUGAAGAACAAUUGUUCCCAGACAAUUUGGCUUCAUUUUGUAUAUCACCUUCUAAUCCUUAGCUCCUGACUUGUACUACUUUUCAAAGCAGCAUCCUUUUUUAUUUAUUUAUUUAAUUUUUUUUGGUACUGUAGGUUGGUGGUUAUCUUCACAAAUGUUUUUGUCUUAAAAAGAGAAAUCCUGAAAAUUUCACCCCGUAUGCAGAAAACUUUGCUGCGUUUUCUGAUGCAUCUAUUCAAGAGGAGGCCUUGGCAUUUUCAGAAUGUACCCUGGGUGUGUCAAGAAAAACAAAACAAAAUAAAAUUAAACAACAGAAUUGAAGCAACGCAUGAUCUCAGGCUUGCCAGGCAAGCACACACCGCUGACCUCUAUCCCCGGCCCAAAAGCAGCAUUCUUUAAAUAACUUUUUACGUGAACAACACGUAUCUUUCUCUUAAUGUUUGUUUCAAUCCUUGCUCAGAAUCUUUGAAAGAAUUUUCCUGAAGUCCUUAGCUUCAAGUUGCCUAGUGAGUUGACCUACUAAAAUAUCAAACAAUUCUUUUUCUAGCUUAAACUUUCUGUGGCCUCCCUAAUUGAUUUCUCAGUGCAGCUCACAGGCACGUAACCUCUGGUGUACACCCUGCAGUUAUGAAUGUGUUACCCAUACAGGCUUCCCUAGGGAGCUGCUCCACCAGUGCUAACGCUAGACCCCAGAAUUCUCUGGCCCGAGGAUUUGCUGUACAAACCUCAGGCGGUGCAGACAACAGUAUAGUUCAGGCUCAGUCAGAAGGCUUCCUUCCUCCUUCUCACUAUUUUGUAAUUUUUCAAUAAACCAUGAUGUUCUACAUUCAUUCGUCAUUUUCUUCUAUUUUUAUUACUAUACUGGUAUGUGUACAUAUGCUCCUUUGGAGGGGAUAUUUUUGAGAGAAGUUUCUGAUGUAAAACAGAACACUAGUCAUUUUCCA